rnacentral:rRNA from 1 species
CCCUUAGAUGUUCUGGGCCGCACGCGCGCUACACUGUUCGACGCAGCGAGUCUUAACCUUGACCGAAAGGUUUGGGUAAUCUUCAGCAAAGUCGAACGUGAUGGGGAUCGAUCAUUGCAAUUAUUGAUCGUGAACGAGGAAUUCCUAGUAAGUGCAAGUCAUCAGCUUGCGCUGAUUACGUCCCUGCCCUUUGUACACACCGCCCGUCGCUACUACCGAUUGAAUGGUUUAGUGAGAUCUCUGGAUUGACGCUGGCUAGGGGGCGACCCUUGGACAGACUGUUGAGAAACUGCUCAAACUUGAUCAUUUAGAGGAAGUAAAAGUCGUAACA